UGCCAUAUCACAUUGAAACACUGAUUCCCAUACAGUCACUGAAGUUAAGCAACAUCAAGCCUGGUUAGUACCUAGAUGAGUGACCACUUGGGAAUGCCAAGUACUGUA